GGAUAUGAGGGCGAUCUGGCUGUGACAUCUGUCACCCCAUUGAUCGCCAGGGUUGAUUCGGCUGAUCUGGUUGGCUAGGCGGGUGUCCCCCUUUCCUCUCUCCCCGCUCCAUGUGCAUCCCUCCCGAAGUUGCACGCUCAGUCGAAGAAGAUGACCAUCCCCUAUAGAAGAGGACCGUUCUUCGGUCAAGGGUGUAUGAGUAGCUGCACUCCCCUUCUAGAACCUCCAAACAAAGACCAAGUUCUCUGUCAGGAAAUGCCUACAAUAUGUACUACACACUAUGCAUGAACUAUAUCUUUCCUCA
rnacentral:snRNA from 1 species